GACCUGAUAUUUGUCUAGAAUCUCUUACCUUUGAGCCUAUAAAUUCACUGCCCCUCCUUCAUUGGCACUUCAAAGUGCAAAAACCCAAAAAACAUAGGGGAGAGAGAUAGAGUUCAUCGAUACAGGCCUUCAUCGAUACUGCUCUUCAGUGCCUCCGCAGUAAUUCAGGCACUAGGAUGGGAGGCAACAUAAGCAUGUUCAAGCCUCGGAAGGCGGGCCGGGACGAUGCUCGGGAUGGGGACUCCGUAAACUCGAAGAAAGUAUACCCGAGCGACUAUGACAAGCGCGGGUACGUUGGGGAGCACGAUAUCAACGAGAAAUCCGAAGCCUUCAUCACCAAAGUCCACGAGACCCGAGUCAUGGAUCCGAACGUCAAGUGAUUGCGAUCUAGAAUAGGCCGCCCCCC
rnacentral:lncRNA from 1 species